GGUGAACGCUGGCGGUAGGCCUAACACAUGCAAGUCGAACGGCAGCACGGUAAGAGCCUGCUCUUACGGGUGGCGAGUGGCGGACGGGUGAGGAAUACAUCGGAAUCUACUUUUUCGUGGGGGAUAACGUAGGGAAACUUACGCUAAUACCGCAUACGACCUACGGGUGAAAGCAGGGGAUCUUCGGACCUUGCGCGAUUGAAUGAGCCGAUGUCGGAUUAGCUAGUUGGCGGGGUAAAGGCCCACCAAGGCGACGAUCCGUAGCUGGUCUGAGAGGAUGAUCAGCCACACUGGAACUGAGACACGGUCCAGACUCCUACGGGAGGCAGCAGUGGGGAAUAUUGGACAAUGGGCGCAAGCCUGAUCCAGCCAUACCGCGUGGGUGAAGAAGGCCUUCGGGUUGUAAAGCCCUUUUGUUGGGAAAGAAAAGCAGCAGGUUAAGACCCCGCUGUUCUGACGGUACCCAAAGAAUAAGCACCGGCUAACUUCGU
rnacentral:rRNA from 1 species